AAAUGCAAUGAAUGAUUUAAUCAGACCACAGCGUUAGUUAAAAGAAGGAAAGCAAGAGAUUAUUGGCUGUGCUGAGGUUCCUCGUGUUUUUGUCUGACCUGUUAGCGUGCCCACGAGGAUAAAGCUCGACUGCAGCCUGGACAGAGCUUGCAUCAAUAAUUGCUCGCAUGAAUGUCAUCCUUUCUGAAGUUGGUCGUCAGUUCCUCUGUGAAACUUAGUUUGGCCACGUAGAAAAAAAAAGAGAGAGAAAAAAAAACAAACAAAAAAAAAGACAAGUCCUCGCCUCCCUUUCUGAUUUGUUUUCUUUACCACUUCCUCCACCACCUCAGGUUAAACUUUAGCUCUUGUCUCUUUUUUUAUUUUGGCAGUAAACAGAAACAUGCAAACACGUGCACACCUUGGCACCAAGGUCCGGCUGUCAUUGCACAGGGAAUUAAGUGACUGGUCAACGUGCCAGUUCAGAUGCAAAAUCUCAGAGGAUGAAGCGUUUAGCCCUUUGUGCGUCCUUCUGCUCCACCUGCCAAAAGCACACGUGUGGACGGGUCGAGGUGAUGCUACGUCACGUCCGAUCUGACCACCGCAGGGGAAAAAGUAAAAAAAACAACAAAAAACAUUUUUCUAAUCUGACCUAACUUUCUGCUUCAGUGCUGCCAGCCAACCUGAACCCGUUGUAGAUUUAUCUUGAAGCCACAGCUCAAGAUGAGGAAGCACAGACAUUCUACCUCUGCAAACUACUUGGUACAGCCGAUAAUCGGCUCCAUGUUGAACCUUGCAACUGAAAAGUGUUUUUUUUCCCCCUUUCUUACAGAUACCUGUAGCUGCACAUCUGCUCCAGCACAUCCCAACUGCAAGAAACUCUGUGUGGGACCUGUCAACCUAACUGAGGAUCAGAGAUCACAAAGCUGCAGGUGAAGGGGAAAUUGCUGCUCAUCGAUGAAAAUGACUUCACAUUGCCUGCGGUCCCAGGUUGUAGGCUUCGGGGGAAACCCUACCACUUUGUUCAAAAGGUUCAAAGACUGAGGGGCCUUUCAAGACGUACAGGAUUCCUCCCUGCCUGUGAAUCUUUGCAGAAAAGGGGGCUGAGUAUCCCGUUUCAGAUCAAGUCAUAAGAAGGUUUGGAAACGUUUCUGCUGAACAAACACGAGAGAUCCAUCUCCACUAACUAGAUGUUGAUUCCACAAGCAAGCAGCACUUAACCUUUCAUCGGGCAUGUGAAUCACUUGAUGACAUGACAUGACAGAUAACACAGCGAGACAGAAGAGGGGUGUGCGGACGCCACAAAAGAGCUAUUAAACCCCAGAAAGAGCCGGAGAACUGAUGAGAUCCUCAUUGCGCUGACACCGUUUUUUAGUGAUGGGAUUCAUCAGCAGCUGACGACACAAAACUCCCACGUAUUUUCAAGUGGAGCGUCCUUGAGUUCGCCUUCCGCAUCCCAGCACAAGGAAGGCUGGUGGUCAGGAAAGAGAGAAUACGCUCAAGAUCCAGACUGGUUGAGGUCAAAAGACAGGAUUAAAAUGCACGCACGCAUAUGGGUCAGAGAUGUACUUGACUGGCCGAGAAAACACGUCCAACCCACACACACACACACACAAACACUUCAGAGCUGUAUUUACGCCAGCCUCUCUUCUAGGCACAGCACUUGGUCCAGAAGGCCCUCGCUGCAGGGGGAGGAUAGGGGUGGGGGAGGCAGGGACGGAGGAAGAGGGGGCAGAAAAGGAGACAGGUGAGGGAGGAGGAUGAGAGAGCAGGAGAGACAGUGAUGACACUCGGUUUUGAAUGUCACCAUGGUGCUAAAGCUCCCCGCUAACCUUUUGGCUGGAAAUGAUAUGACUGGAGGGAUAGGGGAAGGGAGAGUGGGGAGGGGAGAAAAACGACAGGCAGGCAAAGAUGGAGAGAAAAAGAGAUGGAAAGGGUGACAAUGAAGAGAAGGAGAAAGGGAGGAAGGGAGAGGGGGGGGGGAGGCUCAUGCUUGGGCAGAGGAGUGGGUGGGUGGAGGUGGAGCAAUAGAUGGCAAAGAUGAAAGAGAUGGAGGCAAACAACAGCACUACUUCCAUUCCCUCCCAAAAGGGCUGCUGUCUACGACACACGAUGAUGAUGGGAGACAAAAUGGCCACCCUAACAAACACCAGUCAUCUGGCUCAACCAACACUGGCCUUUAAGCACUGAAGUGACCACUCCACCACACCACCUGCUGCUACCUGACCUACAGACUGCACGACACGCUCCGCAGUGGGGCUGAAAACCUGUGACAUCCGACACGAAAUUGUAUUUUUCUCCCCGUUCCCGGAGGGAGAGGACGACGCUUUUCUAAUUACUUUCAAACCGAAUCGGGAACAAAUCUGUACCCUAAAAAAACUUUGGGAGGCGGAAAAAACCUGCGGUGACGACAUAACUCUGCCCCAACAAGGUCUGAAAACUUUCUAACACGCAAGCAGCUGUUGGUUGAUGACAGAGCAAACCACUGCCGUAGAAAACACCUGCUCAUUAUUCUCCUGCCAGCAGUCUUACAACUUCCACUUCAAGAGCGGUGUAAGAAGCACAGAGUUGCUAGAAAGGCUGUGAACAGAUUCCAACUUACUCUUCCAGUCGGUCCAUGAAGACAGCAGGCUCUCAGAAAGUAGGAUCUUUGUUACCAAUUCACAAAAACACCCGAACUGCACAGAGAGCCAAGGAUGCAUCAAUUUACAGCCUAAUUCUCCAUUAAUGUGCAGCUCAGCUGCUGUAGUAAAAACUAUCUUAUUUUAGCUAAUUGUUUUUAUCUUUUCAUUUUUUUAACCCAUCGUGGUUGUGCUUCAAUAUAAAUUAGAUGCAUACAUAUAUUUUGAUGUAUGAAUGAGAAUAAACUUGUAACGUUUUUACUUUUUGCUGGAUUAAAAACCGAUAUCUCCAAAGAACAUAAAGCAACGUUCUUGAAUUAUUGUACAUAUGGGAAGAAAAUUAAAAGACUGAAGUUGGUAAAAAUGAGAAUCAGCGGCUCAGACCUCAAAGAAAAC